GCAUUGGUUGUUUUUGCUAGAAAACGAGUGUUGUUCAAUCUGCCAUGGUAGCUUCAACAUCCCUUAUCAAGCCAAUUGUUCUCACUGGUAUUGCGGUCUUGAACGAGUGCUCAGAAGCAGAUAGAAGAGCUUCUUGCAAAGUUGUAUCGACCAGAUGUUCAUUGAAACGUUUGGAGGAUAAAUCAGUUCAUAGCUUGAAUGGAUUUUUUUGUAGAUAGAUUGGCGAGUUUAAUCAGUUAUCUUUAUAUUGAAUUCUUUUUUCCACCUUCUGCUUUGUCUGUGUUCCUUAAAUUGAUAUCUCAUCCGAACUCCAGUUCUUAAAUUGGGUUUUUACUGUUGUAGAUGAAAGAGCAUUGAUGUUUUCAUUUGGAUUUCAAUUACCGGAAGAUAAAUUAAGGAUGACGUUGCUUGAUGCCAAAAUCACUUGAAUGUGUUGAAAAAAUGGUACAGGGGAUAUACGAGCAGCUACCGCUAAGGAUAUUGAUAUUGAUGCGUUUGCUAUAUGGAAUGCUUGGGGACUGGCUUUAAUUCGGAUGGAACACUAUGCUCAAGCUCGUGUCAAGUUCAACAGGUGGAACGAACAAGAUGUUAAUAGCCUAUCAUGAAACUGGUCAUGCAAUCUGCGCGCUUUAUUCUUUUAUGGGCAA
rnacentral:lncRNA from 1 species